CAAACCGCGCCCCCUGUCCUCGCCCUCGACGGCGCUGCCCUUUGUGAUGGUGCCCUUCCUUCCCCAGCUCCCCCAAAUGCUGCCAAGUCCCCCACCAACGCCGCCCUUCCUUCCCCGGCAGCCCGCCCCCACUAGCUCCGCGCUCCGCGUGCCCCACCAGCCACGCUAGCUGCCGCCGGGAUACUCACCACCUCCGCGCCCCCACCAAACCGAAAGGCGAGAUCCGCCGCCAGUUCCACGCUCCGCGCGUCAAGAGCAGCCAUCACAGUGAUGCCGCGCGAGGGAGAGGAAGGAAGGCCGCGUGAGUCGCCGCAGGGAAAGCUGCCAGGCAUCACCGUAAGGUGAGAUCCGGUUGCGCGUGAGGGAGAGGAAGGAAGGCCGCGUGAGUCGCCGCCGAGAAAGCCACAGGGAAAGCCGCCAGUGUGAGUCGCCGCCGGGAAAGCCGCCAGUGUAUGAUGGUUCGGUCAUCCAGAUGUGGGUGGCGUACAACGUUGUCACUCAUUUCCUCCUGCACUGUACCGACUGCAAGGCGCAAGCUCACUGGCGUGUUCGACCUCCUGAAGAUUAUGCUAUACAAGGUGUGCGCAAAUGGCUCAUCGGCGCUUCCCGAUUGGGAGAUGGAGGCCAGCAUCAUGGAGUUCUACGCUGUUGCAUCUUCUAAGUGGCAUCACCGAGCUGGACGACAGGAAACAGAGAAAAUUGUGCCUGAAAAAAUUUAGGAGCAGGGAUGAGCAUUUAUCAGAAGUGGACACAAAGAGGGAGCUUGAGUGUGGGCUCUGCAUGCGGUGCUUUGAGUAUUGGUAAUAGCUCUUUUCUCCUAGCUUAAAAUCAUGCAUAAAGUUUGAUUUUUUGUAGGCUCCACAUUUAAACAAAUUUGGUCAUGUUAGCUUAUGGAUGGCAUAAAAGUACUAUUUCUCAUGGGUUCUGAAGCAGAAUUAUAGUCAAGUACUUCUCGUGUUGAAACUAUGGACUGGGAAACAUGACAAAUUUGCUUUUAGUAAAAUUACGAAGUGUUGUCUUUUUUAAAAAUAUUGGUGUCAUGUUUUUUUAAUGAAGCAGUUUCAAUGUAUGUGGUCGGUUUGGAGCAUUUUUAGGAGACAUGAUAUGUGGGAUAGAAAAGCUGAUGGAGAUAACCUAAACAUAGACAAACAGCCACAUACCUCCAGCAUGGACAUUCCAGUAGUAAUUGAAGAAGCUGCCAACAAAUACAAAGCACCAUAUCUCUGCAGGACAAAUCAAGAUAAUACACUGCUAAAAUAAGUUGUAUUAGACCAUUAAAGUAUGAGCAUUUAGCUAAGAGUUGCCCUGUGUUUUUUGUUUUACCCAUGAUAACUGUCAGUACAAGUGUACAACAAAUUUUAUAGUAGUACUUUGGAGGACAAAACUGGUGCUGGUCAUUUUAGAUAUUCGUGCCUCUCAAAUACCUUAAGAUGGCUUGAAUUCUUAUUGUUCAUAUACAUUAUCGUUUUUAGGCACACAAUAAUGAACCUCUACAGAUUGUUUGUGGUUAUCAUGCUCUUCCUCAACCACCUCAUGGUGGUGAACUUGUAUUCCACACCCUUGAACAUGUCCAACCUCUGAAAUACUCCUGGCCUGGAUUACCCUUGUUGGGUUUUGUAGAGGCGAUUUGAACAUUUAAAGUAGAUACUUGACCUAUCAUGACUCUAGCCUGCAGUAUCAUUCCUCCAUUUCUCUAAUCUUGAAACUUAGAAUAUAGAUCAAUUUACAUUUGGCGACUGCAGAAGAAGCUCAACACUCAAGACCUUUUCUUAUGAUAUAAUAUUGACAACCAAGAUUUUCUUCUAUCUUUAUUUUUUUGCUGUUUGUGAAAUUCCACAGAUAAGACCUGUAUGCUCUGGCGUGAGUUAUUUUUCUCAAUCAACAGGAAGAAGUGAAGUGAGAGAUUUCAUUAGUUCUUGAACCAACCAAACAUUUUUGAACUGUAAAUACAGUAGGGCACUGUAACAAAAGUUUAUUAGAACUAAAGAAACACCAAUAUUUUAGCUACUUUAAGGCAGGUCCAUUCAAAAAGUUUUGUUUCUCACCCUGCUCAGGCUUUGUACAGUCUUUUUUUUGUUUGCUGACGCCUUCCUAGGAAAGGGGAUCUUCUGCGACGAUAGCGAUGAAGACGAAGACAGUGACCAGGAGAGGGAGGUGAACAAGGAGAUGGUUGUCUACCUUAUCGAUGCCUCGCCCAAAAUGUUCACCCCUGCCACCACCUAGGGCAAUGAAAAGCAGGAGACACAUUUCCAUACCAUUGUUAACUGCAUCACAGAGUCUCUGAAGACACAAAUUAUUGGUAGAACUUAUGAUGAAGUCGCAAUAUGUCUCUUUAACACUAUGAUGCUCCAGUUCUGCAACUUCUUUCCGACAAAAUGUCCACUCAUAUAUUUACAACUCUAUAAGGGUUUAGUGUGGGCGUCCACACCCCUUCACCAUGCCCCCGCCUCAGCCCCCGUCAACCACGCAAGGACUCCAGCGUGAAAGUCGGGCCCGUCGCCGGCCUUGCAUCGUCGCGACACACUCCGUGCCUCCCUUCCAUCAUCGCUCGAUCGCGGUUUCGUCGCACUCCUUCCUUCGAUGGCACUCCUUUCCAUCCUCGAUUCCUCCUGCCCCAGCACCGGCCAGCCUCAUCAGGUCAUUCCUCCUCGCUGUGCCCCCUCCACCGUAUUCAACCACCUCUUCCUCGGCACCAAACGUAGACGCCUCCUCCGCGAUGCCCUCAGACCGCCCGUCCUCGCCCAACAUCUCCUUGCCGCAUAUGCCCGCAGCGGCUGCCUCGCAUCCCGCCCGCACGCCACCUCCUUGCACCCGCGCAUGGAUGCCACUGCACGCCUACUAUGGAAGGGGGACGCCUACUAUUGAAGCUCCCAUCCACGAUCCCAUUCCAAAUCCAGCUUCAAAUUUGCCCCAAUCUGCAGUCAACCUUCCACCCAACAUCUUCCCCUUAUAUAUUGUUGUCUCUGCUAUAAAAGACUUGACAGAGGCGAGGCCUCCAAACCACUACCACUCUCCACCGAUUCACUGGAGUCGCGAGACGUUGGAGGCCCUGAGACGUUCAAGCCUCAUCUGCAGUCUCCUCCAAAGAGGUCCACAAAUGAUUUGAGAGCUGUAGGUCUACAAAUGAUAAUGCAACAAAUUCUGAUUCAUGCAUUUCUUUACUGUGUGGAGGCCAUUUAAUUACGCCUAUUUGAUUUGAGAGCUCGAGUAGACAAGAUCAUGUAGGCUCUGAAAUCUAUCUUCUGGAGGACCAAGGCCAUUAAAGUACAGGUACUCUUGCUCUGUAUAUAUCCUACGUUUGGGUUACUUAAUCGGUGAUUGUGUGAUCUUGUAGUUAUGGUCCAAAAUUGUAUAUGGCACAAAGAUGAGUUUGUUAGUUCCUAAGUUCAUAUAAUGUAACAGAUCUAUUUCUGUUAAUUGGAACAUUGCAAAAAAUGAUAUUUUAGCUAAUGAGGGUGCCAGCCGCCCAAGAGAC